UACUAAGGGCGCACGGUGGAUGCCUUGGCAGAAACAGGCGAUGAAGGACGUGGCAAGCUGCGAUAAGCUUCGGGAAGCCGCACACAGGCGUUGAUCCGGAGAUUUCCGAAUGGGGAAACCCACCAUGGUGAUCCCAUGGUAUGUCCUACUGAAUACAUAGGUAGGAACAGGCGAACGGAGGGAAGUGAACCAUCUCAGUACCUCCAGGAGUAGAAAGAAACCUCGAUUCCGAGAGUAGUGGCGAGCGAAAUCGGACAUAGCCCAAACCCGUGAUAUUUCGGUAUCUCGGGGGUUGUAGGGCCUGCACUAGUAGAGUUACCAAUCCAGUCGAUAGCUGAAGACCGUUGGAAAGCGGUCCCAAAGAGCGUGACAGGCGCGUAGGCGAAAUUGAUCUGGACUCGAAGCAGGUACCUGAGUAAGGCGGGGCACGAGAAACCCUGCUUGAAUCCACGGGGACCAUCCCGUAAGGCUAAAUACUCGUUUCUGACCGAUAGUGAACCAGUACCGUGAGGGAAAGGCGAAAAGAACCCCUGUGAGGGGAGUGAAAUAGAUCCUGAAACCGUGCACGUACAAGCAGUCGGAGCCCGCUUUGUUGGGUGACGGCGUACCUUUUGUAUAAUGGGUCAGCGACUUAUUCUCAGUAGCGAGGUUAACCAUCUAGGGGAGCCGUAGGGAAACCGAGUCUGAAUAGGGCGUUUAGUUGCUGGGAAUAGACCCGAAACCGGACGAUCUACCCAUGGCCAGAGUGAAGGUGCGGUAACACGCACUGGAGGCUCGAACCCAAGUAUGUUGAAAAAUGCUGGGAUGAGCUGUGGGUCGGAGUGAAAGGCUAAUCAAGUCCGGAGAUAGCUGGUUCUCCCCGAAAGCUAUUUAGGUAGCGCCUCGGACGAAUACCACAGGGGGUAGAGCACUGUUUCGGCUAGGGGGUCAUCCCGACUUACCAACCCGAUGCAAACUCCGAAUACCUGUGAGUACUAUCCGGGAGACACACGGCGGGUGCUAACGUCCGUCGUGAAGAGGGAAACAACCCAGACCGCCAGCUAAGGUCCCCAAGUACCAGUUAAGUGGGAAACGAUGUGGGAAGGCUUAGACAGCUAGGAGGUUGGCUUAGAAGCAGCCAUCCUUUAAAGAAAGCGUAACAGCUCACUGGUCUAAAUAAGGGUUCCUGCGGCGAAGAUGUAACGGGGCUAAAGAUAUGCACCGAAGCUUAGGGUUCAGAAUUUAUUCUGAGCGGUAGCGGAGCGUUCCGUAAGCGAGCGAAGGAGAAGGGUAACCGACUCUGGACGUAUCGGAAGUGCGAAUGCUGACAUGAGUAGCGACAAAGAGGGUGAGAUGCCCUCUCGCCGAAAGACCAAGGGUUCCUGCGCAACGCUAAUCGGCGCA
rnacentral:rRNA from 1 species